CGCUAGUAAUCGCGGAUCAGAAUGCCGCGGUGAAUACGUUCCCGGGUCUUGUACACACCGCCCGUCACACCAUGGGAGUUGGAAAUGCCCGAAGUCAGUGACCCAACCCAAGGGAGGGAGCUGCCGAAGGCAGGUUCGAUGACUGGGGUGAAGUCGUAACAAGGUACC
rnacentral:rRNA from 1 species